UGGGGAAUAUUGCACAAUGGGCGAAAGCCUGAUGCAGCAACGCCGCGUGAGCGAAGAAGGUCUUCGGAUCGUAAAGCUCUGUCCUUGGGGAAGAUAAUGACGGUACCCUUGGAGGAAGCCCCGGCUAACUACGUGCCAGCAGCCGCGGUAAUACGUAGGGGGCAAGCGUUAUCCGGAAUUAUUGGGCGUAAAGAGUGCGUAGGUGGUUACCUAAGCAGGGGGUGAAAGGCAAUGGCUUAACCAUUGUUAGCCCCCUGAACUGGGCUACUUGAGUGCAGGAGAGGAAAGCGGAAUUCCUAGUGUAGCGGUGAAAUGCGUAGAUAUUAGGAG
rnacentral:rRNA from 1 species